rnacentral:rRNA from 1 species
AGAGUGAACGCUGGCGGCGUGCUUAACACAUGCAAGUCGAGCGAAUUUCAGCAGUGUAUCGCUGGAGUUAGCGGCAGACGGGUGAGUAAUAUUUAGACAAUCUUCCCUCGAGUGGGAAACAACCUGAUGAAAAUCGGGCUAAUGUCCCAUAAGACCACAGAGUGGCAUCAUUCAGAGGUCAAAGGUCCGCAAGGGCCGCUGGAGGAGGAGUCUAAAUCCUAUCAUGGUAGUUGGUGAGGUAACGGCUCACCAAGCCUACGACGGGUAGCCGGCCUGAAAGGGUGAUCGGCCACACUGGCACUGAGACACGGGCCAGACUCCUACGGGAGGCAGCAGUGGGGAAUUUUGGACAAUGGGGGCAACCCUGAUCCAGCGACGCCGCGUGAAGGAUGAAGGUCUUCGGAUCGUAAACUUCUUUUAGAGGGAUGAAUGAGUUGGUGAAUAGCCAACUGUGACAGUACUCUUUGAAUAAGCCACGGCUAACUACGCGCCG